GUAAUGUCAGUGUGUAUAGUUGGUGUUUGCAUGUGGAUGUGUAUUGUCAGUAUGUAUGUAUAUUAGCAUUUCUGCAUGUGUAAUGUCAGUAUGUAUGUAUAUAAGUGUUUUUAUGUGUAAUGACCUCCUGGUACACCGGCUAAGUACCUCCGUUACUUUCUCCACUAUUUUCAGACCAUCUACUACUGCCUUGCCGAAACACUUGGAGCCGUUGGGAUACUCAUCUUGGCGUAAUCAGAUCAGCAUUCGGAAAUGAAUUAUAGCAGUGAUUAUAGCCGUUACCCCACACCAUGAGUCGAGACUACAUGUAGGGGUUCAAAAGCAGAUCUGCCUUUACUGCUGCCAGGCAGGGCUAUUUAUACCAGACAGAGGUCUUUAGCAAACAAUAAUACAAAAAACGUUAAAUACAGUUCCCCAUCAAGUCCUCCUCCCAAAAUCCCUUGCGUUCCUGCUGAAACAGCCCUCAGCCCCACCAAAACAAGGAUUCCUUUGCACUGAUUGUAAGGAAACCUAGUAUAUCCAAUCCUCAUUCGGUAGUUUCCUUCCGAACGGCCAGAGCAUCAGUGAUUAUAACUCUCCGUUCGGCAGAUGAAAUAAACAAAAUCCAUACGAAUACAAUAGCUUUACAAGAUGAUUCCCUUAAUAAAGCAUCCGAAUACCCAAAGAUCAGCCGGAGUCUAGAAGAAGGGUGCAACAGAACUGGCUUUUAAUUAUCACACACUGGCUUUUAUGCAAGUCCCCGUGCAAGGGGACAUCCCACAGGGACCAAUCAGUUACAAGGAAAACAUACAAUUUGGGUACUUUUGCCAGUCCAUUUAGUAGCAAAAAACAAAUAAUUCCACGAACGGUUUCCCCUGGUUCUUAGCAGCGAUUGUUCCCCUCAUACGAAUGAACAAAAGUACCGAACAGCGCUCUUCUAGCUGUUCGGGAAAUAAAGAUCCAGCGUUCGUAUGUUGAGACCAGUGUUCGGGAAGUCGAGUCUCCGAUUUUAGUUCCAGACACUCGACGACCAAGUCCCGCUGCCUUUGUUCGCACAAAAAAAGAUGGCCGCCGUUUUCACAGCCACAUGGCGUUCGGCAAUACGAACGACGACCGCAGAGGUAGAAGGUUCAAUUGAGGCAUGCUUUAAAGUUAAUGAGCCAGGGUGUGGUCUCUGUUCGGUAGUUACAUCUACCAAAUGCAAAGAGGAGAAAUACCGAACAUAAAGAGGGAUUUCUUCACACUCAUGUCCUGACAACCCGCUCGGAGUGAUUGCAUCACUGUUAACAAUAGUUCUUGUUUGCCUCUCGAACAAAAGUGUCAUUAUGUGUGUAUAUCUGUGAGUGAGUGUAUGUAAUGUCAGUAUGUGUGUAUAUCUGUGUGUGUGUGUGUAUGUACUGUCAGUAUGUGCCUAUAUCAGUGUUUGUAAUAUCACUAAGCAUGUAUAUCUGUGUAUGUAAUGUCAGUUUGUGUGUAUAUCUCUGUGUGUGUAUGUAGUAUCUCUGUGUGUGUAUGUCGUUAUUUGUGUGUAUGAGUAAUGUCAGUACGUGUAUAUCAGUGUGUGUGUGUGUGUGUGUGUGUGUAAGGUCAGUAUGUGAUUGUCGUAUUUGUGUGUGUGUGUCUGUGUAUGUAAGGUCAGUAUGUGAUUGUCGGUGUUUGUGUGUAUGUGUAAAAUACACAUGUGAAAUAAUAGGGGGGGAUUUAGACCAACCAUGGGCAUUGGGUUGGGGGCUUUUAAUUUAAACAAUUUAGAUAGACAGAUCACUGUACGCCCCACUUUCUGUAACUUGUGCGCAGGUUGGACAUCGAAAGCAGUAAAAUUAGUUCCUCCUGUAAUGUCAUUGAAGCUGGGGACAGCCGUAGUAGCCAUUGUUUUAUUUGUAGUUUAUGUAAAUCUCUGCAGUUAAAAGUCGCUGUAUAGCGGAAUGCUAUUCAAUCUAAGCUGUGGAACCAGAUUCAAAAUCAGCGUUUGGUAAUUAGUUUUCUUUUUAUAUAAAUUAAACGAUCCUUUAUGAAUUUCCCGUUACCUGCAAAAUGUAAGAAAACAUCGAACACGGUUUGGCCAUGUAUUUAUCUUGAAUAUUUACAUAUUUAUUUUGAAGUGUUUUUUUCAGGAAGGAAUUAAUCUCUCUCUCUGUCCUAAGGUGAUCGAGUUUUACUUCCUGCAAGAAAUGUUUGUAUUCUGAGGAUUUAACACAGUGCUGAUGGUGGGAGAGCAGUCAGAAUGAAGGGUGGGGCACGCAGGGGGAAAGUCAAGACUCUCCAGCCACCAAAACAACUUUUAUUCAUUUUAUAGCUCCUCACCUAAAAUGCUAGCUAUAUAUUUUUUUCUUGCCCAAUAUUUUUUAUUAAGUUAGCCAAAAAAACUCAAAUUUCCUUCUUGCUGAAUACUGCAUACUGCUUCCUGUCUGACCUUCCCUCCUAACCUGCACUGUCUAAAAACAUAGGUUUUCAUCACACAAACAAGCACAGCAAAGCUUUCUGGGAGUUGUAGUUAAGCUCCCAGAAUUCUAAUAACUCAACUACAAGACCCAGAAACCCUUGCUCUGAGCAGUAAUGAGUUUGGGUUAAACAUGUCCACAGGUCAGACUCCGUAGACUAGAUAUGCCAACCCCACUCCCUGGCAUUGGACAAAAUGAAAAUUUAAUGUGAGGGUUUGCACAAAAAGUACAAAUAUUGUUUUUUGGAAUUAGUUACUUUUGUAUAAAUUUUUUAAACACAUGAUCUAUAUAUAUUGUAUUAAACUGAACGUGUUAGUUGCAGAUUAGAAUGACCCUUUACAUUUUGUUGCCAGUUAUAGAUAACAGAUAACAGAUACUCACAGCGUUAUUUAAUAAAGUGACGAUUAAAAGUGAAUUUAAAAUAUAAGACAAAAAUCACCGAAUUAGAAAAGAUCUCCAGUUCUGUCUUCAUUUGAAAUUAGCCAUGAAUUGUCACUGUAGUGAAUUAACCCAUUCGGAUAUUGGAAAUAUUAAAGACGGCUUGGGAGAUCGAGCCAGCUAACCUGGACAUAAAAUUGUAC